GGAAGUUUUUGAGCUAAAUGAAGCAUUUUUGAUACAAAUCGGACAUUUCUGAGCGAAAUAAGACAUUUUCUAUGCAAAUAGGACAUUUCUCAGGCAAAUCGGACACUUCUUGAGGGAAAUCAAACCUAUUUGAGACAAACCAGACGUCUCAGAGGGAAAUGAAACAUUGAUGAGGUAAAAUCAGACGUUCCUGAGGCAAACCGGAGAUUUUCCCAGGGAAAUCGGUCAUUUUCUGACGGAACUUGGUCAUUUCUGAGGCAAAUGACAUUUUCCUGAAGGAACUCGGGCUUUUCUGAGGUAAAACCAAGGACAAAUGGGUGAUUUUUUUUACCCGUUCACCCUCUCCGGACGCGGUGGAGGUGACUCGCCGCUCUCCCCGCCCAAUGCGGAGCGCACGGAGCGCCGCACGCCGCGCUCCCGCCCCCGGCGCCGCCCCCGCGGCGACUGCGGCAAAACCAAGGGAGGGGCCCGAUGAGGGGCGGGGUCUCCGUGUGGACCCGCCCAUGACGCCUCACUCUCGGAUCCCUCCGCGCGCGGAUCCUUCCGCCCCUCACAUGGCCGUGUCGAUUCACCUCGGAUCCCUCCGCCGGAUCCUUUCGCGGCCGCUCCCGCCCCCAAAUCUCUUUUUUUUUUUUGCCUGUAAAUGGGCGUGGGGGAGGGGCGGAAGGAAAGUCGGGGCUGUGGGGGAGGGGAGCGAGCGGGGGGAGGGGGUCUGUGCCCAUUUAGCGGCGGUUUGAGGGGCCCCGCCGAGGAGGGGACGCGAUGAAGUUCCCCCCAUGCACGCUCCCCUUUUCGUGAGGAAACGCCCCAAAAAUGUUGGAACAGCUCCUUCCACACCCCCAAAAUGCCUCAUCGGUUUCAUCAGCACCUUUAAUUAGCCCCAGAGCAGCUUUAAUGAAUGAUAAUUAAAAGGUGGGGGACAGGGUUGUCCCCUCCCUGCCAGCACUUUUGGGGUGUCAUUUCCUGCCCGGAAACGCCUCAAAAUGUCAAAAAAGGGCUGUAAAAUGUCUUUUAAAAGCCUUUAAAUCCCUCAGAAUAGUGGGGGUUUAUUCCCCUUUUUGUAAACAGGGACUUCCAUGACUCGGCAUGGCCUGAAAUGGGGAGAAAGAUGGAGAUUUUGAUGCAUUUCUGUCGUAAAAAAAAAAGAAAAUGGUGGUUAGAGCUGUGCUGUAUCAGGGUGGGAAAAAAGGUUUUAAAAGUGUCGUUUGGGCUUUUUGGGGAACAAAAACUGGUGAAAAUUUGGGCUUUGGGGUCUGUGUUCCCUCAAGAACUUUUUUUCCCCCCAAGAUUUGUCACCCUUUUGAGGAGAAACGGCGCCUUUUUGGCAGCGGCCCAGCUCCGUGACGCAGCAAAAGCAAAAACCAGAGUAAAAUGAAUGAAUAAACACCAAAAAACCCUCCAGAACCACCCGGGAAGGUCGAAGCGAGGGAUUUUAGGGCAGAAUUGGCCAAACCGAACAAAAAAGUCGCUGUUAGAUUUAACCAUUUUCGUGCUGGACCGCGUGGGGCGGCCGGAGGCCCACGGCUGUGGGGGGAGGGGGUGACGCGGUUUGGGAGGGGAAAAAAUCAAAGAAAGGAGUAAAAAAUGUGAAAAAAUGAAAAAAUAAGCUUUUUCACACUGCGGGUGGUGGAUUUGGGGGGGGAAUUUUGGGGGUUGCUGCCCUUUUUUGGUGAUUUUAGGGACUAUUUUGUCGCCCCCGCGGGGGCGGCGCCGGGCCGCUUAUAAGGGAGGGCCCCGCGCCGGCAGCGCCCGGCCGAGAACCAGCCCCGAAACGGCCCGAAUUCGGCCCAAAAGCGCUUAGAGCUGCUCGAUUUUAUACAAAAAGCUCCUAAAAUGGCUUUAUUUCCUACCGAGAGCUCAAAAAAUGGCUUUAUUGCCUACCAAAAGCUCUUAAAGCUGCGAUAUUUUAUAGAAAGAGCUCCUAAGACUGCUUGAUUUCAUAAAAGCGGCUCUUAAAUAUUUAUUUAAAGAAAAGAGACAAAAGCUGUUUCCUUUAAGGAAAACUGAGCUCUUAAAGCUGCUUUCUUUCAACAUAAAUCCUUAAACUGCGGCGAUUCCAGUAAUGGGAAAAGCCAGGGCGAGCCGGGGCACUUUUAAUUGAAAAAAAUGAAUGAAAAACCUUUAAAAAGCUCUUAAAGCUGGUUUUCAUUUAAACCGAGGCUUCUAAUGCUGGUUUUUAAGAAAUCGCUGCUUUCAAAGCCGAUUUCUGGGAGAAGAGGCAGCUCUCGCAGCUCUUUAAUUCUUAAAAUAUCCUAAUGUGAUAUUUUCGAAAAGCCGGAGCGAGCUGGGGCGAUUUUAAUUUAAAAAGAGCUUUUUAAGCUUCUUUAAUUCCAAGAAAGAAAAAGCGCUUGAUUCGCUGUUUUCUGCUAAAAAAGCUCAUAAAUUUAAAUUUUUUUUAAAAGCUCCUAAAGCUUUUAAAAAAUGUAGUUUUGUCCCCAAGUGGGGCCGGGCCGGGCAGCGCAGGCGGGGGCGGCCGGUUUGGGGUGAAAUGCGGCAUUUUCAGGCUCAGGAUGGAUUGAGAGGAGCCAAUUUUGAGGGAAGAGCAGGAAAACUGAAGAGUGAAGAUGGAGUCGGCAGGGAGAGGAAAGUUUUUCUUCGCAGUGACCCCAUCUGGGGGGAAAAAAAGGACUUUUUGGUAAAAUGGCGGCAGUUGGGCAGGGGAGGAGCAGAGAGAAGAGAGGAGAACAAGGAGAGAAAGACAGAAAAUAGAACAUAAAAGAGAGAGAAAAUAGAAGAAAAUCAGGAAAAAAAAAAAAGAAAAUAGAAAAACCUUAGAAAAAAGAAAACAGAAAAUUGAAAAAAUAGAAAAUUGGAAAAAAGAAAAUUGAAAAUCAUAGAAAAAAUGUGAAAAAAUAGAAAAAAAAGAGAAGAAAAUUGGAGAAUAGAAGAAACUAGAAAAAAAUUAGAAAAUUUGAGAAAAUAGAAGAAAUUAGAAAAAUGAAAAUCGAACAAAUAGAAGAAUAUAGAAAAAAUAAUUGAAAAAAUGAAAAUAGACUGUAAAUAAAUAGAAAAAAUACAAUUGGGAAAAAUGAAACUAGAAAAAAGAAAAUAGAAAAUUAUAGGAAAAAAAAAGAAAAACGCAAGUGCUGAAAAUUUGAGAAGAUGGAAGUGAAAGAAAACAGGGAAAAAUCAGAAGAGAGAAAAUAGAAGAUAAUAGAAGAGAGGAAAAAUGAGAGAAAAUCAAAGAGGAUUUAGAGGAGAAAAUAGAAGCGAAAAAUAAUGAAAAAAAAGAAGGAUAAAGGGAGAGAAAAAGGAAGAAAAAUCCCGAUUUGGGCCCCGGAGCCGGGAAAAUUGAGGAAUUUGAGGAAAAUGCCCCAAACGGAGCCGGAGAGAGCGGCCGGGUGAGGCCCCACCCCCACCGGGGGUUUGGGAAUUUUGGGGGGAUUUGGGGGGUUUUGGGGUUCUGUCGUUUCAGGCGCCGCCGCCGUCGCCCCUCCCCCUUCCCCCUUUUUCUAUUAAACUCCCCAGAAAUGGGGAAAACCCCCCAAAUUCCUCCAGCGCCCUCCGGCUCCGCCGCUCCCGCCGGCGCCGCUCAGUAAGUGUCCAAAAUCUUUUGUUUUUAACCCGAAGGCGUCGCGCGGGAGGGGCCGGUGAUAAAAAAAAAAAAAGGGAGAGAAAUGAUCAAAGAAAUGUUUUGUAUUUUUUUUGGGGGGGGGUGGGGAAAGAGGGAGGGGGUGUCUCGAGUUUUUUUCCCCCUCAGGGAAGCAGCAAAACGCAGGGAAAAAAAAAGGCAAAAAAACGGUGAGAAAAAGCCGAGGAAAGGGAAAAAAAAAAGAGAGGAUUUAACCAAAAAAAGGCCAGUCUGCACUCAAAACGCGCUCAGGACAUUCCGGCAGGGAUUUGAGGAGAAAACCCCCAGAUCUGGGGAAUGCAGAGAAGUAAGAGUCGAUUUAAUUUCAUUUUUUGGGGAGGUCGGUUUUUGGUGGGAAGGGGGCGGUUUUGGGGUGUUUUCCGCCCUUUCCGCAGCCGCAAGUGAGAGGAGUCAGCAGCAUCAAAAAGAAGCUUUUUUGCCCCAAAAGUGAAGCUGGAAGAGCAGGAAGGUGGCUCCGGGAGCUUUCCUUAG